GGUAUCAGAAGUGCGAAUGCUGACAUAAGUAACGAUAAAGCGGGUGAAAAGCCCGCUCGCCGGAAGACCAAGGGUUCCUGUCCAACGUUAAUCGGGGCAGGGUGAGUCGACCCCUAAGGCGAGGCCGAAAGGCGUAGUCGAUGGGAAACGGGUUAAUAUUCCCGUACUUGGUGUUACUGCGAAGGGGGGACGGAGAAGGCUAUGUUGGCCGGGCGACGGUUGUCCCGGUUUAAGCGUGUAGGUGUGUGUUCCAGGUAAAUCCGGUUCACUUUAACACUGAGGCGUGACGACGAGGCACUACGGUGCUGAAGCAACAAAUGCCCUGCUUCCAGGAAAAGCCUCUAAGCAUCAGGUAACAUCAAAUCGUACCCCAAACCGACACAGGUGGUCAGGUAGAGAAUACCAAGGCGCUUGAGAGAACUCGGGUGAAGGAACUAGGCAAAAUGGUGCCGUAACUUCGGGAGAAGGCACGCUGACACGUAGGUGAAGUGAUUUACUCAUGGAGCUGAAGUCAGUCGAAGAUACCAGCUGGCUGCAACUGUUUAUUAAAAACACAGCACUGUGCAAACACGAAAGUGGACGUAUACGGUGUGACGCCUGCCCGGUGCCGGAAGGUUAAUUGAUGGGGUCAGCGCAAGCGAAGCUCCUGAUCGAAGCCCCGGUAAACGGCGGCCGUAACUAUAACGGUCCUAAGGUAGCGAAAUUCCUUGUCGGGUAAGUUCCGACCUGCACGAAUGGCGUAAUGAUGGCCAGGCUGUCUCCACCCGAGACUCAGUGAAAUUGAACUCGCUGUGAAGAUGCAGUGUACCCGCGGCAAGACGGAAAGACCCCGUGAACCUUUACUAUAGCUUGACACUGAACAUUGAGCCUUGAUGUGUAGGAUAGGUGGGAGGCUUUGAAGCGUGGACGCCAGUCUGCGUGGAGCCGACCUUGAAAUACCACCCUUUAAUGUUUGAUGUUCUAACGUGGACCCGUAUCCGGGUUGCGGACAGUGUCUGGUGGGUAGUUUGACUGGGGCGGUCUCCUCCUAAAGAGUAACGGAGGAGCACGAAGGUUGGCUAAUCCUGGUCGGACAUCAGGAGGUUAGUGCAAUGGCAUAAGCCAGCUUGACUGCGAGCGUGACGGCGCGAGCAGGUGCGAAAGCAGGUCAUAGUGAUCCGGUGGUUCUGAAUGGAAGGGCCAUCGCUCAACGGAUAAAAGGUACUCCGGGGAUAACAGGCUGAUACCGCCCAAGAGUUCAUAUCGACGGCGGUGUUUGGCACCUCGAUGUCGGCUCAUCACAUCCUGGGGCUGAAGUAGGUCCCAAGGGUAUGGCUGUUCGCCAUUUAAAGUGGUACGCGAGCUGGGUUUAGAACGUCGUGAGACAGUUCGGUCCCUAUCUGCCGUGGGCGCUGGAGAACUGAGGGGGGCUGCUCCUAGUACGAGAGGACCGGAGUGGACGCAUCACUGGUGUUCGGGUUGUCAUGCCAAUGGCACUGCCCGGUAGCUAAAUGCGGAAGAGAUAAGUGCUGAAAGCAUCUAAGCACGAAACUUGCCCCGAGAUGAGUUCU
rnacentral:rRNA from 2 species